GACGAACGCUGGCGGCGUGCCUAAUACAUGCAAGUAGAACGCACAGUUUAUACCGUAGCUUGCUACACCAUAGACUGUGAGUUGCGAACGGGUGAGUAACGCGUAGGUAACCUGCCUGGUAGCGGGGGAUAACUAUUGGAAACGAUAGCUAAUACCGCAUAAUAUUAAUUAUUGCAUGAUAAUUAAUUGAAAGGUGCAAUUGCACCACUACCAGAUGGACCUGCGUUGUAUUAGCUAGUAGGUGAGGUAACGGCUCACCUAGGCGACGAUACAUAGCCGACCUGAGAGGGUGAUCGGCCACACUGGGACUGAGACACGGCCCAGACUCCUACGGGAGGCAGCAGUAGGGAAUCUUCGGCAAUGGACGAAAGUCUGACCGAGCAACGCCGCGUGAGUGAAGAAGGGUUUCGGAUCGUAAAGCUCUGUUGUAAGAGAAGAACGGGUGUGAGAGUGGAAAGUUCACAGUGUGACGGUAUCUUACCAGAAAGGGACGGCUAACUACGUG
rnacentral:rRNA from 1 species